GACGAACGCUGGCGGCGUGCUUAACACAUGCAAGUCGUACGGUAAGGCCCUUUCGGGGGUACACGAGUGGCGAACGGGUGAGUAACACGUGAGUAACCUGCCCACAACUUUGGGAUAACGCUAGGAAACUGGUGCUAAUACUGGAUAUGUGCUCCUGCUGCAUGGUGGGGGUUGGAAAGCUCCGGCGGUUGUGGAUGGACUCGCGGCCUAUCAGCUUGUUGGUGGGGUAGUGGCCUACCAAGGCGGCGACGGGUAGCCGGCCUGAGAGGGUGACCGGCCACAUUGGGACUGAGAUACGGCCCAGACUCCUACGGGAGGCAGCAGUGGGGAAUAUUGCACAAUGGGCGCAAGCCUGAUGCAGCAACGCCGCGGGCGGGAUGACGGCCUUCGGGUUGUAAACCGCUUUCAGCAGGGGCGAAGCUUUUUGUGACGGUACCUGCAGAAGAAGCACCGGCUAACUACGUG
rnacentral:rRNA from 1 species